rnacentral:rRNA from 1 species
AACGAACGCUGGCGGCAGGCCUAACACAUGCAAGUCGAGCGAGGACUUCGGUUCUAGCGGCGGACGGGUGAGUAACGCGUGGGAAUGUGCCCUUCUCUACGGAAUAGCCCUGGGAAACUGGGAGUAAUACCGUAUACGCCCUUUUGGGGAAAGAUUUAUCGGAGAAGGAUCAGCCCGCGUUGGGUUAGGUAGUUGGUGGGGUAAUGGCCUACCAAGCCGACGAUCCAUAGCUGGUUUGAGAGGAUGAUCAGCCACACUGGGACUGAGACACGGCCCAGACUCCUACGGGAGGCAGCAGUAGGGAAUCUUAGACAAUGGGGGCAACCCUGAUCGAGCCAUGCCGCGUGAGUGAUGAAGGCCUUAGGGUUGUAAAGCUCUUUCAGCUGGGAAGAUAAUGACGGUACCAGCAGAAGAAGCCCCGGCUAACUCCGUG